UACGGAGGGAGCUAGCGUUGUUCGGAAUUACUGGGCGUAAAGCGCACGUAGGCGGCUUUGUAAGUUAGAGGUGAAAGCCCGGGGCUCAACCCCGGAAUUGCCUUUAAGACUGCAUCGCUUGAAUCCGGGAGAGGUGAGUGGAAUUCCGAGUGUAGAGGUGAAAUUCGUAGAUAUUCGGAAGAACACCAGUGGCGAAGGCGGCUCACUGGACCGGUACUGACGCUGAGGUGCGAAAGCGUGGGGAGCAAACAGG
rnacentral:rRNA from 1 species